CAUGGAGGGUGAGAAUCCCGUCCGGCCAACUUUUUGACGCUUUACGAUACACUUUCAAAGAGUCGAGUUGUUUGGGAUUGCAGCUCAAAAUGGGAGGUAAAUUCCUCCUAAGGCUAAAUAUUGGCGAGAGACCGAUAGCGAACAAGUACCGUGAGGGAAAGAUGAAAAGAACUUUGAAAAGAGAGUAAAAUAGUACGUGAAAUUGUUGAAAGGGAAACGAUUGAAGUCAGUCGUACCGACGAUAAAUCAGCUCCUCGAGUGCGGACUUGUGGGCGUGCGUGAGCUUUAAAACCUCGCUGUUUGCAACGUUUGUACUUUUUGGGUGUACUUUUUCGUAUGGUAGGCCAACGUCAGUUUCGAUUACCAUAAAAUGACCGGAGGAAUGUAGCUUCGAUCUCGUAUUGAAGUGUUAUAGCCACUGGUAGAUGUGGUGACUGAAACUGAGGAUUGCAACGAAUACCCUUUGGGCUAUCCGUCUGAUCUCUGAAAGUUGCUUAGGUGCCGAAAGCGUGCUUACGGUUAUUUAAGUUGACGGUCAAUAGGUUAGAACGUGAUUACAUUCGUUAAGGAUGUUGACGUAAUGG
rnacentral:rRNA from 1 species